GCAACGGAUAUCUCGGCUCACGCAUCGAUGAAGAACGUAGCAAAAUGCGAUACUUGGUGUGAAUUGCAGAAUCCCGUGAACCAUCGAGUUUUUGAACGCAAGUUGCGCCCAAAGCCAUCCGGUUGAGGGCACGCCUGCCUGGGCGUCACGCAUCGUGUCGCU
rnacentral:rRNA from 3 species